UAAUGAUGUUACCUAAAGGAAGCAUAGAUCAGGCCUGAUCUGACAGAGUGACCAUCAGAACGGGCAUAAAUGUUGUGUAGUGUCAACCCGGCGUAACACACCUGUGAUUCAUCAGAAUAACAUGAGACAUCUGUAUGAUGAGAACCAGGAUAAAAAAUAAUCAUCAUCAUCAUCAUCAUCACACAGCUCAGUGACACCUGAUGGUAAUCUCAGUCUCGGCUGACGGUGAAUUUUUGGAGAGUGAUUUGAAUGUUCCUGUUGAUCACAGAGUGUCGUUUACAUCACACUGACAGUUUCAUCAUAUAUGAAGCUCCUCAUUCAUUCAUUCAUUCAUCGUUCUGAUGAUGUCACUCAUCAUUAACAGCCCCGCCUCUUUCACACGAACAUGCUCGUGGCUGACAUGAAAACCCAGAGCUGGCUGAACUGGUUGGAACCAGCUGUGUAGUAACUGGUUAUCAGACGGACCAUGUGACGGGUUAGUCAGACAGAUAACCACAAGGUAUCCUGGGUAAGAUGAACUGGGGUCAGAGUUCAGACCUCAGGUGACGGUCUCGUCUUGUUUCAGGGUUACUUCGGUAAAGGCAUCCUGUCCAGAGCCAGACCGGACCACAGCAUCUCUGACCAAUGGGAGCAUCAUGCAGGUCUGUUUCUACCUGUCAUCUCACAGUCCAGGUAUGAUGAGCUCCUCGGGUGGGCGGGUGCGGCUCUCUCUGCUCAGGGAUUGGAUGAAGCAGCUGUCAAUCAAACCCUGCUCAGCCUCUCUCAGCCAGUAGAAAUAGCAGAAGUGAGGAGGGAGGUGGGGGGAGGGUUGGAGGAUGGACAGAAGGAGGCGGAGCCAGGACCAGAGGGUGGAGCCUGUCCCCACACAAAGAGGCAGCGGCCGUGUUCAGAGGCGGAGCCUGAGGCGAAGAGGAGCUGCAGGUAGAGACAUGGGUUCAUCCCAAUACCAGAUUUCACAUCCACAUUUCCCUCACUUGCAUCGCUUCCUUGCAUCUUAGCUCCGCCCUCAAAGGACAAGAGGGAGAGA